rnacentral:rRNA from 1 species
GUUAUGAGUUAUAUAAGGUUAAACCUGCCCUAUGAUUAUUUAAAUGGCCGCAGUACUUUGACUGUGCUAAGGUAGCAUAAUAAAUUGACUUUUAAUUGGGGCCUUGAAUGAAAGGUAAUAUGGAUAAUUACUGUCUUAAUUUUAUUUAUAAAAAUUUUCUUAAAAGGUGAAAAUUCCUUUAAAGUGCUUUAAAAGACGAGAAGACCCUAGGAGUUAUAAUAUUUAAUAUAUUUUGUUGGGGCGACACUACAACAUAUAAACUUGUAGAAAUAUUAAAAUAAAUAAAACGAAUCUUUUUAAUCUUAUUUAAGCUACCCUAGGGAUAACAGCACAAUUUAAUUUUAAGUUUGUGACCUCGAUGUUGGACUAGGGACUUUUAGUAUUAACAAUAUUAAAAUUUUGUUCUGUUCGAACAGUUAUUUCCUACA